AACGGGGAUGGGUUAUUCGAUAUCUCUAAGGAUAACUAAGAUUUAGAGGUUGCUGGAAAUAAUAGGAGCGUCGGUUGCCGGUUAUUUCCCUAAGAAAUAAUUACCGAAUAAGCAUGUAGUAUGCUCGGAUGCAGAUUUCAAGACGCGGGUUCGAUUCCCGCCAUCUCCAUUU
rnacentral:tmRNA from 1 species